rnacentral:rRNA from 1 species
ACUCCUACGGGAGGCAGCAGUGGGGAAUAUUGCACAAUGGGGGAAACCCUGAUGCAGCCAUGCCGCGUGUGUGAAGAAGGCUCUAGGGUUGUAAAGCACUUUCAACAGUGAGGAAAAAGUUAACGGUUAAUACCCGUUAGCCCCUGACGUUAACUGUAGAAGAAGCACCGGCUAACUCCGUGCCAGCAGCCGCGGUAAUACGGAGGGUGCAAGCGUUAAUCGGAAUUACUGGGCGUAAAGCGCACGUAGGCGGUUAG